CCCAAACUUGACUCCUAGGCCAGAUCUCCUAGACACCUGGAUGGCAGCUUAGCAUAAAGAGCCAGCUGCCUUCUCGUAGAGCCAAAACAUCAGUGUGUGGUCCAGACCGUUGGCAAGUAGACCUGGGCAUCCUGAAUCUACAGCUCGGACCGCAUCUCUGCAUCUUGCCCAAGGGGAGUCUAUGAAGCAGUUGCCUUUCUUAAUUAAAAGGGAAACGAAGAGAUGAGCCUGGAGGCUCGCCACUCACAUUCGCCUGGACACUGCUGGACAAUGGAGCAUGUCCCCACCCACAGGAGAUGUCCCAUCAGCCUCGGCUCCGGAAUAAGAAAGACGUUGUGGGCUUCCUGCCAAUCCCAAGUAGCCAUGUCGUGAGAUCCGAUACGUAAACCUUUGUGUGUUAAGCCACAGCAAUUUGGGAGUCCUUUGUUACUGCAGCGUAACCUGGAUUAUCCUGACUGGUUCUAUGAGAAAGAUACUCAAAACAGUGACUCUAGUGAGCUGUAUACCAAGGCAUCUGCCAAUCAAAGCAGCCCUACACACUCAUGCCAAACAGCCAUAUAUUAGUGGAAGCCAGAGGAAGAAAUUACAUAUUGCUUGUUAUUCCCGGUGUCAUCGAUGGCUAAGUCACCAUCCCCUAUCUUCCUCACAACAGUGUUUCUUCCCAGCUUGAUAAUGAUAGCUGUAGUUAAAAACUACCAUUCAUUGAUCAUUUGUCAUAUGUCGCACACCAUAUAAAGUAUUUACAAGUCUACGUGAGAGUCAUUCUUAGCCUCAGAUUUCAGACGUGAAAACCAAAACCCAAAGCACCAAUCUUAACAUUGCCUAAAGCCACAUAGCAUCCUAUUCCAGAGCAAAUGUUCGUAACUACUCUCCUUCAGACCAUCCCACAAACAUCUUCCCCAAAAGACAAUCUGCCUCCACUGGGUCACACUGGCUCCAUUCUUUUCUCAGAUACCAUGGUCAGCCCUGCCCUUGGUCACAAUGGAUUUAAGAGGCCUUGGUUGAAG
rnacentral:lncRNA from 1 species